rnacentral:lncRNA from 1 species
AUUUCCAGGUGUUUCCCCUUCAGUGCUCCUAAUCACUUGCCCAGGAUACAUUAUCAAAAGGACAUCCUCAUCUGAAACCUGGGACCCUCAUCCCAUAGCUUGUACACGGAAUAGCUAAAUCCUCUCAGGGUGCCUGAUCUUAGCAGGUUCGGUCCACACUGAGGAACACUUCGGCCAUUGUGGAGGCAAACAGGACUCUUACUUCCUGAUGGUAGGAAGCUCCGGAAGCUUUCCUCACUCUUCUGCUACAAGGCAUGGUCGGGACUGUGGAGACCUGGUCUUGAUGAUCCAGCUAUAAUGUCCUAAUUCUGUUUUUCUGUCUCUUGAAGGACUGUGGCUUUUCAGCAAAAGGCAACAGAAACCAAAAUCCAGAAUCCCAGACUUGUGACCAGCCACCAAAGCAGUACUCCAGGGAUAAGAGUGGUGUAAGCAGUGACAGCAAAUUUCAACUUCCAAUAGACCUGCCCAGAGGGAAAGCAGGAAGAAUACUUGAAGACAGACACCGUGUUUGCUUGACAUACAAAUCACAGGUCUCCAUGUAUACUUCAAACCAGAGAUUCUGUCUCAGAUCUUUUCAAUCUAUGGGUAAAUUAUGACUUUUCUAACUUGUUAUUCUGAAGCCUCAUUUGAUCAUUAUGAUUAUAAAAUAAUCUCAUAACCAAAUACAUUUUAUGUGCUGAAGGAGUUCAAAAGCCUCUCUCUGUUUCUCUGUAACUCAUUUUCUCUGUUUCAAAUGAAAAUAAAUAUUCUUCAUAAAUA